UACGAAGGGGGCUAGCGUUGCUCGGAAUGACUGGGCGUAAAGGGCGCGUAGGCGGUUUGGCCAGUCAGAUGUGAAAUUCCUGGGCUCAACCUGGGGGCUGCAUUUGAUACGUUCGGACUAGAGUGGGGAAGAGGGUCGUGGAAUUCCCAGUGUAGAGGUGAAAUUCGUAGAUAUUGGGAAGAACACCGGUGGCGAAGGCGGCGACCUGGUCCUUGACUGACGCUGAGGCGCGAAAGCCAGGGGAGCAAACGGG
rnacentral:rRNA from 1 species